UUUUGUGUCAAUUUGGUUGUGAUGGUAAGAUUACUUUAUGUAACAUUGUGUUGUGGCAUGCCAGUGUCGAACUUUUUUCUUAAUUUAAUUUCGGAAAGAAAUGAGUUUAACAAUAGUCCUAUACGAUGAAGUUAGCAUCCUUAUAAGUUGGGAACCUAAAACAGGAGUGGUGUACUCAUAAAUUCAUACUUUUCUCUGCCUCAUUCCCCUCUACUUGCAUCAGUUGUGACUUAUUUUCUUUUUUUGGUUCUAUCUCAGGAGUUUGUCAGGGAGAAAGUUCGUGAACAAAAGAAAUCUAAUCGAGAGGCUGGGUUAAUUUUAGGGCUGGAUGAAAAGAAACACCUAUCUGAGCUUUCAACAACUCGAAGUAUAUUCCCUGCACAUUGCAAAGAUCUGGUGCUAUUUUGGUGUUGCAAGCCUAGGCGCGGAAUGAAAAGAAGGGAUGUAUGUGUUUCUGAACUCUUAUGCAAAUCUAAAUUGAAAUCAUGAAACACAUUUCCUAUGUUUCUCAAAUCUCAGCAACAGGUUUUAGAACCCUGAAAUCUAAGUAAAGGUACAUCAUUCCUAUUUUCGUGUUUUUUUUUAAUUCCUAUCAUCAUGGCCACGAUAAAACGUGAAUAUGCAUGCCAACCUUGCAUACUCAGUGAUUAAUUUCUGGAUGAAUUUUUCUUUAGACGGGGGUUUGCAGAUAUGAAUACUUGAGGGGCAGAUGGUCACCAUGUUGGAUCCAUUGAUACUGAUACAACUUGGGAUUUAGUUGGUUAUAUUCAAAUCAGAAAUAAAAUUGUUGUGUAUAUUCCGCAUUUGAUUGAAAAUCUGUAAUUUUAUGAAUCAUUUAUUCGGAUUUAAUUUCAG